CUAAACGGCCGCGGUACAAAACCGUGCAAAGGUAGCACAAUCACUUGUCCCUUAAAUGAGGACCCGUAUGAAAGGCAACAUGAGAGAAAACCUGUCUCCUGAGGUCAGCCAAUGAAAUUGAUCUAUCAGUACAAAAGCUGAUAUAAUAAAGCAAGACAAAAAGACCCUAUGGAACUUUUAACGAAUUACUUACACAAAUAAGCAAUAGUUUCAGUUGGGACAACUUUAGAAAAAAUAAACCUCUAACAUAUCACCUUGACCAACAAGUCUCCAAUAUACUACAAGACCCAGUAACACUGACAAACGAAACAAGCUACCCUAGGGAUAACAGCGCUACCUUCUCAAAGAGUCCAUAUCAACAAGAAGAUCUACGACCUCGAUGUUGGAUCAGGGUACCCAGACGGUGCAGCAGCUGUCAAUGGUUCGUUUGUUCAACGACUAACACCCUACGUGA
rnacentral:rRNA from 1 species